rnacentral:tRNA from 1 species
GCGCUUGUAGCUCAGCCGGAUAGAGCAUCGGCCUUCUAAGCCGAGGGUCGCAGGUUCGAGUCCUGCCAAGCGCACCA